UACGAAGGGGGCUAGCGUUGUUCGGAAUUACUGGGCGUAAAGGGCGCGUAGGCGGUACUUCAAGUCAGGCGUGAAAGCCCCGGGCUCAACCUGGGAACCGCGCUUGAGACUGGAGAACUAGAGUUCGGGAGAGGAUGGUGGAAUUCCCAGUGUAGAGGUGAAAUGCGUAGAUAUCGGAAGGAACAUCAGUGGCGAAAGACGGCU
rnacentral:rRNA from 1 species